rnacentral:rRNA from 1 species
GGCGUCCGAGUUGUAAUUUGUAGAGGAUGCUAUUGGGUUGCCACCGGUCUAAGUUCCUUGGAACAGGACGUCACAGAGGGUGAGAAUCCCGUAUGUGACCGGCCAGGCGCCUUCUGUAUAGCUCCUUCGACGAGUCGGGUUGUUUGGGAAUGCAGCCCUAAAUGGGAGGUAAAUUUCUUCUAAAGCUAAAUACCGGCCAGAGACCGAUAGCGCACAAGUAGAGUGAUCGAAAGAUGAAAAGCACUUUGGAAAGAGAGUUAAAAAGCACGUGAAAUUGUUGAAAGGGAAGCGCUUGCAAUCAGUCUCGACGGCGGCUGUUCGGCCUCUCUUCUGAGUGGCUUAUUCAGUCGCCGCCGGGCCAGCAUCAGUUUUGGCGGUCGGAUAAAGGCGUGGGGAAUGUAGCUCCUCCGGGAGUGUUAUAGCCCCGCGUGCAAUACGGCCCGCCGGGACUGAGGUCCGCGCUUCGGCUAGGAUGCUGGCGAAAUGGUUGUAAGCGGCCCGUCUUGAAACACGGACCAAGGAGUCUAACAUCUACGCGAGUGUUUGGGUGUCAAACCCGUGCGCGCAAUGAAAGUGAACGGAGGUGGGAACCGCAAGGUGCACCAUCGACCGAUCCUGAUGUCUUCGGAUGGAUUUGAGUAAGAGCGUAGCUGUUGGGACCCGAAAGAUGGUGAACUAUGCCUGAAUAGGGUGAAGCCAGAGGAAACUCUGGUGGAGGCUCGCAGCGGUUCUGACG